AGAGUUUGAUCAUGGCUCAGAAUCAACGCUGGCGGCGCGCCUAACACAUGCAAGUCGAACGAGAAAGUGGAGCAAUCCAUGAGUACAGUGGCGUACGGGUGAGUAACACGUGGGUGAUCUACCUCUUAGUGAGGAAUAACCCUGGGAAACCGGGGCUAAUACCGCAUAAGCCUUAGCAGGGAAAGUCGAAAGACGCUGAGAGAGGAGCCCGCGGCCGAUUAGCUAGUUGGUGAGGUAAAAGCCCACCAAGGCAGAGAUCGGUAGCCGGCCUGAGAGGGCACACGGCCACACUGGCACUGAAACACGGGCCAGACUCCUACGGGAGGCAGCAGUGGGGAAUCUUGCACAAUGGGGGAAACCCUGAUGCAGCGACGCCGCGUGAGCGAUGAAGCCCUUCGGGGUGUAAAGCUCUUUCGUCAGGGAAGAUAGUGACGGUACCUGGAGAAGCAGCUGCGGCUAACUACGUGCCAGCAGCCGCGGUAAUACGUAGGCAGCAAGCGUUGUUCGGAGUUACUGGGCGUAAAGGGUGUGUAGGCGGUUCUUUAAGUUUGGUGUGAAAUCUCCCGGCUCAACCGGGAGGGUGCGCCGAAUACUGAGGGACUAGAGUGCGGGAGAGGAAAGUGGAAUUCCUGGUGUAGCGGUGAAAUGCGUAGAUAUCAGGAGGAACACCGGUGGUGUAGACGGCUUUCUGGACCGUAACUGACGCUGAGACACGAAAGCGUGGGUAGCAAACAGGAUUAGAUACCCUAGUAGUCC
rnacentral:rRNA from 1 species